rnacentral:RNase_P_RNA from 1 species
GGAGUCAACCAAGCAAUCGCCGGUGCCAAUUGGCGCGGGAGGAAAGUCCGGGCACUACAGGACACGGUGCCAGGUAACGCCUGGGGAGCGUAAGCUCACGGCUAGUGCAACAGAAAAUACACCGCUCGAUUCUUUGAGUAAGGGUGAAAUGGUGCGGUAAGAGCGCACCGCGAGACUGGUAACAGGAUCGGCAAGGUAAACCCCACCGAGUGCAAGGCUGAAUAGGAACCAACGGCGUGGUCCGCGUCGGUUCGGGUAAGCUGCUAAUGGAAGUGUACGGCGACGUGCGCUCUAGAUGAAUGAUUGCUCUCGACAGAACCCGGCUUAUCGGUUGACUCCCUAU